UCAGGCCUAACACAUGCAAGUCGAGCGGCAGCACGGGGAGCUUGCUCCCUGGUGGCGACGGCGGACGGGUGAGUAAUGCAUAGGAAUCUGCCCGGUAGUGGGGGAUAACCUGGGGAAACCCAGGCUAAUACCGCAUACGUCCUACGGGAGAAAGCAGGGGACCUUCGGGCCUUGCGCUAUCGGAUGAGCCUAUGUCGGAUUAGCUGGUUGGUGAGGUAAUGGCUCACCAAGGCGACGAUCCGUAGCUGGUCUGAGAGGAUGAUCAGCCACAUCGGGACUGAGACACGGCCCGAACUCCUACGGGAGGCAGCAGUGGGGAAUAUUGGACAAUGGGCGCAAGCCUGAUCCAGCCAUGCCGCGUGUGUGAAGAAGGCCCUCGGGUUGUAAAGCACUUUCAGUGGGGAAGAAAGCCUUCCGGUUAAUACCCGGGAGGAGGGAC
rnacentral:rRNA from 1 species